ACUACGGGAGGCAGCAGUGGGGAAUAUUGCGCAAUGGGCGAAAGCCUGACGCAGCGACGCCGCGUGAGGGAUGAAGGUCUUCGGAUCGUAAACCUCUGUCAGCAGGGAAGAACGGUCACUGUGCUAAUCAGCAGUGAAUUGACGGUACCUGCAAAGGAAGCACCGGCUAACUCCGUGCCAGCAGCCGCGGUAAUACGGAGGGUGCGAGCGUGAAUUGGAAUUACUGGGCGUAAAGCGGUCGUAGGCGGUAUGUCAAGUAAAGGGUGAAAUCCCCGCGCUCAACGUGGGAACUGCCUUUGAAACUGGCAAACUGUAGUGUGUGCGAGGAUAGUGGAAUUCCAGGUGUAGGAGUGAAAUCCGUAGAUAUCUGGAGGAACAUCAGUGGCGAAGGCGACUAUCUGGCACAUAACUGACGCUGAGGAGCGAAAGCGUGGGUAGCAAACAGGAUUAGAUACCCUAGUAGUC
rnacentral:rRNA from 1 species